rnacentral:rRNA from 1 species
GCAAGUCGAGCGGAAGAGGUAUCUUGCUACUGAUCUUAGCGGCGGACGGGUGAGUAAUACUUAGGAAUCUGGCUAUUAGUGGGGGACAACAUUUCGAAAGGGAUGCUAAUACCGCAUACGUCCUACGGGAGAAAGCAGGGGAUCUUCGGACCUUGCGCUAUAGAUAUGCCUAAGUCGGAUUAGCUAGUUGGUGAGGUAAAGGCCUACCAAGGCGACGAUCUGUAGCGGGUCUGAGAGGAUGAUC